CUUGCCCCAUGGGAAGUCAUAUGUCAAGCCAAGAUGAAAACAAAGCUCAAAUCUGUCCCCGGAGAGGGUCCCUUGGCGGCUCUGUGGACCGCAGGUACUCGGGAGUCUGUUGCACUCAUCCGUGGGGUCUUCUUGUCCUCCACAGUGGAACAGUAUGGGGAGUUUGCCUCAACUACACAACGUGAGCCCUCAGCCCAGAACUUCCAGCAGCAGCCAGCCGCCAGCCACCAGCCACAAGGCUGGGAAGCCAGAGCAGCCACAGAGGAGCUGACUCCCCACUCUGGGCUCCACCACUGGCUCCAGCCCACACGGUGGACACCCAGGAUGAAACAAAGUGUUCUGUGUGCUCCUAAGAACCAACCGAAGUCCUUUUCAAGGGGAAAAAAUAUAUUGAUUGCUGAUAUCUGCAAUAAUGAACCCCAGCAAAUUACAGAUUACCUCUCUGAUGGCAGCUUGACAAAUGCCACCUCUGGAGAAGUCCACAGAUGUGCCAUUUGCAGGGCCUGUAUUAAACAUUCUCUCAAGACAGAUUUGAAAUAACUUUGGGGGUGAAAGUCUAAGUUGCACAGGCAUGAAAAUGACAGCGUGUGCUGUUGGAAUUAUAUAUCUGUGCACUAAUUCUCAUAUACAAUUAGAAUUGGAUGCCUCUGCUGCCAUGCCGUGUGCUGCUGUCAUUAGCAAUUACGUCGUAGCCGGUCUGAAUCUAUACUCAAAACCCUCAUCUACAUUUUUCUUAUGAGAUGCUGCGUAAGGGAAAUCGGCCCUUUAAGGAAACAGCGGGGACACUCGUCCUCUUUGACAGCCUCUCUGUGGCCGUGGAGGAUGCGGAAGGCCGCCUCACCCCUCUGCCCUUUCACCUGCUUCCCCUAGAUGUUCCAGGUUGGGGAUGGGCAGGGUGACACCGUCCAGGAGGGGCACAUGGCUGACAGGCUGCGGGGCGGGACAGGGUCCCCAAUCCAGCAGACACACAUCACUUUG
rnacentral:lncRNA from 1 species